AAACACCACAGACACUACACACAUAUACUGUACCCACACACCAUGCACUGUUCACACCACACAUUGCACAUUGCACACAGGAUGCACACACCACACAUACUACACACCACACACCACAGACACUACACACAUAUACUGUACUCACACACCAUGCACUGUUCACACCACACAUUGCACAUUGCACACAGACUGCACACACCACACAUACUACACACCACACACCACAGACACUUCACACGUAUACUGUACCCACACACCAUGCACUGCUCACACCACACACUGCACAUUGCACACAGAGUACACACACGACACACUGCACAUUGCACACACUCUGCACACUGCGACUCCACACACACCACCUAGCAGCAUGCCUGUGCAGACCACACACCUCCUACAUAGCCACACCCACCACACCUCUAACCGUGUCACAGGAGAGCACUUGUACACUGUACACACAAGGUAGGCUGAGUGAUUUUGGCACUAAAAAUCUGAAUGUCAGAAAAUACUAUUAAGAAUAAGUGUGGAUUUAUUAUCUGGGGAGGUCACAGAGAGCUCUACGUAGCAAAGCGUGUGGCAAGGGCCACAGGCUGGGGACCUGAUUCAACAAGAGACUGGAGGACCCUGGUUAUCCAGCAGACAGGCGGGCCUUGUGGGAUGUGGAGAGCUCUGCCUUUGCCCACUGCAGGCCCUCUCUGACUCACAUAGGGGGUGAGCUCCGUUACGUGGCCACCAUGUGGCUCUGUUCAUGUUGUGGAAAACUGGUCUUACAGACCUGCCUCCCGGGUCAGGCUGCGUCCUCACCUGCUGGGAGCCCCGACUCCCAGUGGGUUUCCAUUCCUCAGCAAGGAGCAGCACCCACACUCGGCGCGGGGACAGUGUGAGGCUGCCGAGGGCCUGCCCUUCUGUGGGCAGCUCCCCUGGGACAUGGAGCCUUCCUGCCGUGGCCACCUGGUGUGGGACAUGGAGCCUUCCUGCCGUGGCCACCCGGUGUGGGACAUGGAGCCUUCCUGCCGUGGCCACCCGGUGGUCCAACAACCCAGUGCUGCAAGGCCACUGCACAGACCGACCCCGGGCCUGGACGCAGCUCCCUGAAGGCCGAGUGCUGCGACCCACCCUGCCCGGCACGCCGCGUUCCCCACAAGAAGCGCCUGUGUUUGCUGCUUCAAGGGCGGCUGGUCCCACAGGGAGACUGAGCCCCAGGCAGGGCUCCCUCCAGCUCUUCUUGAACCAGCGUCUGGGAAGGUGGCCAUCAGUCAGACCUGUGCCACAGCUGGUGACGCCUGCCUAGGGGUGACCACACACGGCUCCUGAGGUCUGCCAGCCUAGAAGGACCCCCCCCACACACACACACGUGCACAUGCAGGAUCCACCAGGAUGAAUAAUCUUUAUGAUGAGAAUCUCUAAGGCGAAGCUGUGGAGGAAGGAGGCACCUUUCCUGUGGCUGAGCCUGUCCCUGUGCUGCAGGAGGCAGGAAAGGGGGAGCCUGCUGGGAGCGUGAGGCCAUCACUGCUCAGCGGGGCCAGAGCCCAGCAGGUCCCAGUGUGUAUGAGGUGGACAGUGGGAGGAUUUCAUGCUCCCUGCCCCAGAGGACACUUCCUUCACGGGCCUCCAUGUUCUCUGUGGGGCCAAUGCACAGGGAAUGGGGUCAACUGCAGCCGGCGGCCUGGGCUUGUGCAUGAACCUUCUGGGUGUGGAGGCCACUGGAAUUCUCCCCCCUGAAGGGCCCUCUGACCCUGCAGCUGGCGGGGAACCACCCUGGCACACCCUGGUGGGGAGCAGAAGGGACACGCCUGGGCUGGGCAUUGUGCCGGGCCCAUCUCCCCAUUGUGCUGCCCACAGGGCCCUGCAGCCAGUGACCCCAGGAGACACGGCAUCCAGGUGGGGUGGCUCCCAGGUGGCUCUGUCCCCAGAGGGCUCACAGCUGCUCACCUGCCUCAGGUGCCAUUGUGCCCUACCUGCAGCGGUCUCCACACUCCCCCAACACGGGCUUCAGCAUGGGGUGGGGGGGGGCUUGAUGACGUCCAGCGUCC
rnacentral:lncRNA from 1 species